AGUGAACGCUGGCGGUAGGCCUAACACAUGCAAGUCGAACGGCAGCACAGUAAGAGCUUGCUCUUACGGGUGGCGAGUGGCGGACGGGUGAGGAAUACAUCGGAAUCUACUUUUUCGUGGGGGAAAAGGAAGGGAAAUUAAGGUAAUAACGCAUACGGACUAAGGGGGGAAAGCAGGGGUCUUCGGAACUUGGGGGGAUGGAUGAAGCGAUGUCGGAUUAGCUAGUUGGCGGGGUAAAGGCCCACCAAGGCGACGAUCCGUAGCUGGUCUGAGAGGAUGAUCAGCCACACUGGAACUGAGACACGGUCCAGACUCCUACGGGAGGCAGCAGUGGGGAAUAUUGGACAAUGGGCGCAAGCCUGAUCCAGCCAUACCGCGUGGGUGAAGAAGGCCUUCGGGUUGUAAAGCCCUUUUGUUGGGAAAGAAAAGCAGCAGGUUAAUACCCCGCUGUUCUGACGGUACCCAAAGAAUAAGCACCGGCUAACUUCGUG
rnacentral:rRNA from 1 species